rnacentral:rRNA from 1 species
GACGAACGCUGGCGGCGUGCUUAACACAUGCAAGUCGAACGAUGAAGCUGGAGCUUGCUCUGGUGGAUUAGUGGCGAACGGGUGAGUAACACGUGAGUAACCUGCCCUGGACUCUGGGAUAACCCCGAGAAAUCGGAGCUAAUACCGGAUAGGACCUCGGAUCGCAUGAUCUGGGGUGGAAAGUUUUUCGGUCUGGGAUGGACUCGCGGCCUAUCAGCUUGUUGGUGAGGUAAUGGCUCACCAAGGCGUCGACGGGUAGCCGGCCUGAGAGGGUGACCGGCCACACUGGGACUGAGACACGGCCCAGACUCCUACGGGAGGCAGCAGUGGGGAAUAUUGCACAAUGGGCGCAAGCCUGAUGCAGCGACGCCGCGUGCGGGAUGACGGCCUUCGGGUUGUAAACCGCUUUUAGUAAGGAAGAAGCCGCAAGGUGGCGGUACUUGCAGAAAAAGGACCGGCUAACUACGUGCCAGCAGCCGCUGUAAUAC